GCAACAAUAGCUUAAUAGAAAAGCAUUGGUUUUGUAAAUCAAAGAAUGAAAUUAUUUCUUGUUGCU
rnacentral:tRNA from 1 species